rnacentral:lncRNA from 1 species
CCCCAGCGUCCCGUGUCCCGCCCGCGCCCCAGCCCGUUCUCCCACCCCAUCCCCGUGCCGGAUCUCGCCGCCUCCGCCGCCGUGGGUCUGCCGCCUCCAACGGCUAUUCCACGGGUUCCGAUGUCUGAGGUAAUUCCGAAUCGACGGGCUAUUCCCAACUCUGUGUGCCAACUCUGUCUCUGUGUGAACUAUUCCUGGGCUUUUGUUCAAGAGAUUGCUAGCUUCUUUAGCCUAACCUUGGUCCACACAGCUUCCGCAAGCUUGCAUUGGAGUAAGAUGUGGUUCAUAGUUUCUGCAGCUGGGCAUAGAUCGCAUUCAUUGUGUGUCACAACUUUGUCCAAUGCUUUUCUAAGCAUGUUAUCUCUUGUAUUGUGUCUGUCGCUGAACGCAAUCCAUAGAAAGAUGCGGUGCUUGUUCGGUAUAAUCUUAUCCCAUAUAUAUGGCGCCAACAUGCAGUUUCUUCCCCUGAAGGUGAGUAGUUUGUAUAAGUACGCAGUAGACGGUUUCUUGUCAUCUGUGAUAGGCAGUCUGGUAUCCGGCAUACCCACAUCUACGUGUAUGUUGCCUAAAAUUCCAUUAAGGGCUUCCAGUAUGAAUUAAUUCUGAGACAUGGGUGAUUGAGUCAUCAUUUACCCACCCCAUCGGCUCUUUACUGGGGUUUCCUGCAGUCCAUCUAUCCUCCACAUUUGGGAUAGAUAGAAGCUCCAUCUUUUGUGCAUUAUGGCCACACAAGAUAGCUUUCCACACCAGAGAAGCACUCGGUAGGCAAAUCAGCGACGAGGAAAUCUGUGUUUUGGGUAAUAUCUUCACUUUAAUACUUGAGCACAUAAACUCGUAGGAUUGUGCAGCAGACGCCAAGCUUUCUUGCCAAGCAUUGCGUCAUUAAAAUAUUUAGAAUCACGGAUGCCAAUGCCUCAUGUCACCUCGACCUUUCAGAAUUAACAUGUUUUCCCAUGAUUGCCAAUGCAUACCCUUCUGAUCAAAGGAUCCACUCUUCCGUAACUUGGACAUCACUGACAUUAAUUUGGGGCAUAAACCUUUUGUAGCAUGGUAGAGAUUGAACUAUUGACUUGAGGAGUACUUGCCUAUGUUGGACAGCUUACCUUGCAUUGCACAUUUCCUUGUCAGAUGACUUCUGUCUUCUUGUUUAAGCUGGCAUUAGUGCAUAAUACCAUUAUGUUAUUAAGUAAAACUGUAGAAGUAUGUGUCAAAUUGCUUAUUUUCCCAUGAUCGACAGCCUUGCAAUUAAUGCACCCUUGUCAGAUGGCUUCAUCUUGUUGUUUAGGCUGGGAAGAGCUAAUAUCAAUUGGCUGGACAAUCUUGUGGUUUCUAUCAGCUAUAAACCAAUGUUUUCUACCAUCGUUUCAAUUUUCUCAGAAUUUGAAUAAUUGAAUGAGCAGGGCCAAUAUGUUUACCAGGGUCUCAUACUUUUAAGAAUGUAGUUACCACGGCAUUGAAGUAUGAUAUUUGGUCUUUUAUACAGUACUUUUGUUGCUUCUGUACAUUUAGUUGUAACUUGUGCUAAACUGUAUGCAGGGGCUACCUUGAGAAGUUUUCUUUUUGUUUACAAGCAGUUUUCUUUUGUUAGCAGUUCAAGCAGAGCAGUUUCGUAUUCUAGCUAUACUACGUUUCCUCCAUCUUCACCUUCCACAGUUUUUAGUAACCCAAUUAUAUUUUUUUGUGGCAGAACGGAUGCAGAGUAAUGGGAAAGAAGAUGCUUCAUCCUUGAGGAUCAUCAGCGAUGUAAAUGGAUCGUUAGAGUAUGGACACAAUUCGGACUGUACUUGGUCGUGACAGGGAGUUCGAACACUACUUACUAUCAAAGGUAGUCGUCUUGCCUAUUAUUGGUAGCAGUUGUACGGACCAAUCGAAUCAGUAGAUGCGUCGAUCUCAUUAGGACAAAGACCUGCUCAAACGGAUUCCACAAAGGCAUGUGCACCAAAUUCAGUACAGUUGUUAAGCAUGAUUACACAAUCCCCGACGCCCGUCAGUGGUGAAACCCUGUCGAAAUGUGUUGCAUUCAUCAGUAAUGCAAGGGCAAAGUUAACGAUAAUAAUAAGCAUGGAAUAGUUAUGGUGCGUGACUAGGCAUUGUGUUCAAUCUUAAGCUUGAUUUGGAGGGUAUAAGCUGGUAAUUUUUGGUGCAUCUACUUUUUGCAUGUUAGUGUGUUAUAAGCUGUAAAUUUUGGCAUUUCUACAUACGUUUUAGUAGUACGCUAGUAUGUUUGUCAUCUAUCUAGUUGCGGCACACUUUCAGCACCGGCAGGCAGGCUUGGGUGACUGGUACCAAGCGUAAACAUAGUAGGUCCGUGUGAACAAUGCUCAAUGUGUUUUCUUAGUUUUUGUGCUUUACAAGUAGUCAAAGGUGGUUGUGGUGCGGACUUGGAGUAACUUACCAUCAAGCACGCUGACACACAAACGAAUGCCCAUGCCCAAUGCUUGCUUCACUUGUUAAUCAAAAGCCAAACCAACCAUCUCGAGCAGCAAUGGUUUUUCCAGUCCCUUUGCUUUGCUGUGGCAGCCGACGCCAGUCUUGCGUGUGUAUCCGACCUACUACAGCUGAAAAGCCUUACUGAAAGACGAUGAUAACCCAAGAGUAAGUCUCAGGGUCCUCCCGCGCCCACACCCACAACAAUUUCCGUGAGUUCAGAGCCUCGUUUUCUUCUGAUUGCUGCACCACCAGGCUUUGUGCUAACUGCUCAUGCGCCGUGCUGAUUGCUCCUGUGCUGUCCAAUGCGUUUGGAGGUGCCCCGUUUAGCAAUCUUUUUAUUUGUUUGCCCCUUCUCCAGUUUGCACGGAAAUUGAAGCCCCCACCUUUUGUCUGUUAUCUGCUGCUGCGAGCCACCUGUCUCCAUUAUUUUUACUAUAGUUGAAAAAACAGAUGAUUCGUUAUCCUCCUUUGCAUUUCGGCCAGCAUGCAUGCAUAUUUAUUUUUUGAUCUGCUGCGGACUUGUUACAAGCAGACAUCUGGAGCAGCAAUGGCUUUUCACAUAAGCAUGACUUGGCAUUUCAUUCCAUCUUAAGUUCGAUUUGUAGGUUAUAUAAGCUGGUAAAUUUUGGUGCCUCUUACCUUUUUUGUAUGUUAGUGCGUUAUACAAGCAGUAAAUUUUGGCAUUUCUACCUACAUUCGAUUACACUAGUAUGUUUGGUAUCUGUCUUGUUGCAGCACACUUGUAGCACCAGCAUUGUGAGCAAUGCUCGAUGUGUUUUCCUAGUUUUUGUGCUUUGCAUCGUUUUUCGGUCCAGUUGCUCCCAAGUAGUCACAGGUGGUUGUGGUGCGGAGUAACUUACCAGCAAGCACGCUGACACACAAACGAAUGCCCAUGCCAAUGCUACUUCACUUGUGAAUCCAAAACCAAACCAGCCAUCUCGAGCAGCACUGGCUUUUCACAUAACCAAUGGUUUUCGGUCUCUUCGCUUCGUUGUGGCAGCUGAUGCCAAUCUACUUGCGUGUGUAUCUGAACCAGAGCUGAAAAUCCUAACCCAAAGACGACGAUAACCGAAGAGUAAGUCGGGGUCCUCCCGCAUCCGCGGAUCCUAAGCCUCUCGAACUGCCGGGUUAUUCCCCAAUGCCCCACGUUAUCCUGGUUUUGGGAUGCCGGGCAGUUCCGGCAGCCCAGCGUUCACAUGAGAAGGUUCUGUUUUCCCUCCUACACUGUACCAUGUAUCUCCGUUCUAAGCGUUCUUAGAGAGACCUACAGCAAUUUCCAUCAGUUCAGCAAUCGAUUUGCUACCCAUUGCGUCUGAAGGUGCCCGUCCAGCAGUCUUUGCAUCUGCCCCUUUUCCAGCUUCCACGGAGCUCCAAGCCUCCACCUUUUGUCUGUAAUCUGCUUCUGCGAGCCACCUGUCUCCAUUAUUUUUAUUUCAUUAGUUGAAAAAACAGAUGAAUCGUUAUCCUCCUUUGCAUUUUUUGGCCGGCAUGCAUAUACAUUUUUUGAUCUAGAAUUUACAGUUUUGCUUCUUCCCUCCUUUGGUUUCAGCUUGCCGCUCCAGUGCUCCUGCAUUGUUUUCAGGGGACUCGUGACUUAUUUUUCCUCUGUUUCAUUCAGGUUUUACUCUCCGCCAUGUAUUUUUCCUCCGUGAAUGACUUAGAUGGUGAGAGGACAUCUCUACAGCCGUUACACCAAACGCCCCCGCCGCUACACCUGUGCAAAUUCCAGAAAAAGAUGAACCAUACACAGAAGCCCGCGUGCUCCGAUUAAAUUAUGAGGUACUUUCGUUUCUUAGUACUAGUCCUAACGCUCAUGAGAAUAUGAUGCUGCCUAAAUCAGAUAUGUUUGUAUUUCUCAGGAACCAAGGGCCUAUGAUAAACCAAAGAGACUACGAGCGUUGGAGCAUAAUCAAGCGUGGUUACCAAGGUGAGAAUGAAGACGGAACUUUAAGGCCUUCUACGAUGCAAGAUGCUUAGAAAAAUUAAUCAGUUUUUUUCUUAAAUACCAGUGCUUAUUUAUACCGGGUAGAUGCUUAAUUGCACCCCUCCUGUAGAAAUACGCACUGGUUCUUAAGAAAAACUUGGUUUGCUGCCGUUACACCAACCGCCCCUGCCGCUACAAAUUAAAUGUGCAAAUUCCAGAAAAAGAUGAACCAUAUACCGAAGCACGCGCGCUCCAAUUGAAUUAUGAGGUACUUUUGUUUCUAAUAAGUAGUUCUAGUGUUCAUGAGAUUAUGAUGCUGCCUAAAUCAGAUAUGUUUGUAUUUCUCAGGAACGAAGGGCCUAUGAUAAACCAAAGAGACUACUAGCGUUGGAGCAUAAUCAAGCGUGGUUACAAAGGCGGGAAUGAAGACGGAACUUUAAGGCCGUCUACAAUGCAAGAUGCUUAGAAAAAUAAACAUCUUUUUCCUAAACAUCAGUGCUUAUUUAUACAUGAUAGACGCUUAAUUACACCCCUCCCGUAGAAAUAUGCAUUGGUUCUUAAGAAAAACUUGGUUUACUGCUGUUACACCAACCGCCCGGGCCGCUAUAAAUUAAAUGUGCAAAUUCCAGAAAAAGACAAGAACCAUAUACCGAAGCACGCGCGCUCCAAGGUAUUUUUGUUUCUAAGUAGUUCUAGUGUUCAUGAGAAUAUGAUACUGCCUAAAUCAGAUAUGUUUGUAUUUCUCAGGGACGAAGGGCCUAUGAUAAAACAAAGAGACUACUAGCGUUGGAGCAUAAUCAAGCGUGGUUACAAAGGCGGGAAUGAAGACAGAACUUUAAGGCCUUCUACAAUGCAAGAUGCUUAGAAAAAUAAAUCAGCUUUUUCCUAAACAUCAGUGCUUAUUUAUACAGGGUAGACGCUUAAUUACACCCCUCCUGUAGAAAUAUGCAUUGGUUCUUAAGAAAAACUUGGUUUACUGCUGUUACACCAACUGCCCCUGCCACUACAAAUUAAAUGUGCAAAUUCCAGAAAAAGAUGAACCAUAUACUGAAGCACGCGCGCUGCAAUUGAAUUAUGAGGUACUUUUGUUUCUAAGUAGUUAUAGUGUUCAUGAGAAUAUGAUGCUGCCUAAAUAAGUUAUGUUUGUAUUUCUCAGGAACGAAGGGCCUAUGAUAAACCAAAGAGACUACUAGCGUUGGAGCAUAAUCAAGCGUGGUUACAAAGGCGGGAAUGAAGAUGGAACUUUAAGGCCUUCUACAAUGCAAGAUGCUUAGAAAAAUAAAUCAGUUUUUUCUUAAAUAACAGUGCUUAUUUAUAUAGGGUAAACGCUUAAUUGCACCCCUCCUGGUUCCUAAGAAAAACUUGGUUAUAAAAAUUUGUCGUAGCCGUAACCCUGUGUACCAAGUUGUGUCCAACGACCAGCUUACAGAAUCUCAGCCUUUUGUUUACUUUUGGCAAGAGCUCACAUCAUGUCGUGAUUGGAAAAUUUGAAGGUACUUCAUAUGUACUCCCUACUCCCUGUGUUCACCGAAAGAGGACGAUUUAGACUGACCAUGCAAUCUUUAAACGUCUUACAUUUAUGAACAGAGAGUAUUUU